UGUAUUGUGCCUUAUCCAUUUCUGAAC
rnacentral:piRNA from 1 species